rnacentral:rRNA from 1 species
AGGCUUUGAUCCUGGCUCAGAUUGAACGCUGGCGGCAUGCCUUACACAUGCAAGUCGAACGGCAGCACGGGAGCUUGCUCCUGGUGGCGAGUGGCGAACGGGUGAGUAAUACAUCGGAACGUGCCCAGUAGUGGGGGAUAGCUCGGCGAAAGCCGGAUUAAUACCGCAUACGACCUAUGGGUGAAAGCGGGGGACCGUAAGGCCUCGCGCUAUUGGAGCGGCCGAUGUCUGAUUAGCUAGUUGGCGGGGUAAAAGCCCACCAAGGCGACGAUCAGUAGCUGGUCUGAGAGGACGAUCAGCCACACUGGAACUGAGACACGGUCCAGACUCCUACGGGAGGCAGCAGUGGGGAAUUUUGGACAAUGGGCGAAAGCCUGAUCCAGCAAUGCCGCGUGUGCGAAGAAGGCCUUCGGGUUGUAAAGCACUUUUGUCAGGGAAGAAAUCUUUCGGGCUAAUACCCCUGGAAGGAUGACGGUACGCUAAGAAUAGCACCGGGGUACAUCCGAUC